CGGAGUAAUACAUCGGAACGUGUCUUCUAGUGGGGGAUAACUGCCCGAAAGGGCGAGCUAAUACCGCAUGAGACCUGAGGGUGGAAAGCGGGGGAGUCGCAAGACCUCGCGCUGGAAGAGCGGCCGAUGUCCGAUUAGCUAGUUGGUGAGGUAAAGGCUCACCAAGGCGACGAUCGGUAGCUGGUCUGAGAGGACGACCAGCCACACUGGGACUGAGACACGGCCCAG
rnacentral:rRNA from 1 species